UGGCACCAUAGCAACGGACAAA
rnacentral:siRNA from 1 species